GAUGAACGCUAGCGGGAGGCUUAACACAUGCAAGUCGAGGGGCAGCAUAGGGUAGCAAUACUCUGAUGGCGACCGGCAAACGGGUGAGUAACGCGUAUGCAACCUACCCUGUACAGGGGGAUAACCCGGAGAAAUUCGGACUAAUAUCCCGUAAUAAUAUCCGGAGGCAUCUUUGGAUAUUUAAAGUUUCGACGGUACGGGAUGGGCAUGCGUAACAUUAGCUGGUUGGUAAGGUAACGGCUUACCAAGGCUAUGAUGUUUAGGGGUCCUGAGAGGGUGGUCCCCCACACUGGUACUGAGACACGGACCAGACUCCUACGGGAGGCAGCAGUGAGGAAUAUUGGUCAAUGGGCGCAAGCCUGAACCAGCCAUCCCGCGUGCAGGAAGACGGCCCUAUGGGUUGUAAACUGCUUUUCCAGGGAGAGAAACUUACGCACGUGUUGCGUGACUGACGGUACCCUGGGAAUAAGCAUCGGCUAACUCCGUGCCAGCAGCCGCGGUAAACAU
rnacentral:rRNA from 1 species